rnacentral:rRNA from 1 species
UGGCUGCUUAACAUGCAGUCGAACGGCAGCACGGGUGACUUGCACCUGGUGGCGAGUGGCGAACGGGUGAGUAAUACAUCGGAACAUGUCCUGUAGUGGGGGAUAGCCCGGCGAAAGCCGGAUUAAUACCGCAUACGAUCUACGGAUGAAAGCGGGGGACCUUCGGGCCUCGCGCUAUAGGGUUGGCCGAUGGCUGAUUAGCUAGUUGGUGGGGUAAAGGCCUACCAAGGCGACGAUCAGUAGCUGGUCUGAGAGGACGACCAGCCACACUGGGACUGAGACACGGCCCAGACUCCUACGGGAGGCAGCAGUGGGGAAUUUUGGACAAUGGGCGAAAGCCUGAUCCAGCAAUGCCGCGUGUGUGAAGAAGGCCUUCGGGUUGUAAAGCACUUUUGUCCGGAAAGAAAUCCUUGGCUCUAAUACAGUCGGGGGAUGACGGUACCGGAAGAAUAAGCACCGGCUAACUACGUGCCAGCAGCCGCGGUAAUACGUAGGGUGCAAGCGUUAAUCGGAAUUACUGGGCGUAAAGCGUGCGCAGGCGGUUUGCUAAGACCGAUGUGAAAUCCCCGGGCUCAACCUGGGAACUGCAUUGGUGACUGGCAGGCUAGAGUAUGGCAGAGGGGGGUAGAAUUCCACGUGUAGCAGUGAAAUGCGUAGAGAUGUGGAGGAAUACCGAUGGCGAAGGCAGCCCCCUGGGCCAAUACUGACGCUCAUGCACGAAAGCGUGGGGAGCAAACAGGAUUAGAUACCCUGGUAGUCCACGCCCUAAACGAUGUCAACUAGUUGUUGGGGAUUCAUUUCCUUAGUAACGUAGCUAACGCGUGAAGUUGACCGCCUGGGGAGUACGGUCGCAAGAUUAAAACUCAAAGGAAUUGACGGGGACCCGCACAAGCGGUGGAUGAUGUGGAUUAAUUCGAUGCAACGCGAAAAACCUUACCUACCCUUGACAUGGUCGGAAUCCUGCUGASAAGUGGGAGUGCUCGAAAGAGAACCGGCGCACAGGUGCUGCAUGGCUGUCGUCAGCUCGUGUCCUGAGAAGUUGGGUUAAGUCCCGCAUCGAGCGCAACCCUUGUCCUUAGUUGCUACGCAAGACCACUCUAAGGAGACUGCCGGUGACAAACCGGAGGAACGUCGGGAUGACGUCAAGUCCUCAUGGCCCUUUUGGGAAGGGCUUCACACGUCAUACAAUGGUCGGAACAGAGGGUUCCCAACCCGCCAGGGGGAGCUAUUCCGAGAAAACCGAUCGUAGACCCCAAUCCACUCUGCAACUCGAGUCCAUCAAGCUGGAAACGCUAGAAAUCGCGGAUCAGCAUGCCGCGGUGAAAACGUUCCCGGGUCUUGUACACACCGCCCCUCACACCAUCGGAGUGGGUUUUACCAGAAGUGGCUACUCUAACCCCAACGAGGACGGUCACCACGGUAGGAUUCAUGACUGGGCCAAGUCGAACAACGAGGCCA